GUGCCAGCAGCCGCGGUAAUACGUAGAUGGCAAGCGUUGUCCGGAUUUAUUGGGUUUAAAGGGUGCGUAGGCGGCUUUGUAAGUCAGUGGUGAAAUAUGGCAGCUCAACUGUCAGGGUGCCAUUGAUACUGCGGAGCUUGAGUACAGAUGAGGUAGGCGGAAUUGACGGUGUAGCGGGUGAAAUGCUUAGAUAUCGUCAAGAACACCGAUAGCGAAGGCAGCUUACUGGGCUGUAACUGACGCUGAGGCACGAAAGUGUGGGGAUCAAACAGGAUUAGAUACCCUGGUAGUCCACACUGUAAACGUUGAUGACUCGCUGUUGGCGAUACACAGCCAGCGGCAGAGAGAAAUCGUUAAGUCAUCCACCUGGGGAGUACGCCGGCAACGGUGAAACUCAAAGGAAUUGACGGGGGUCCGCACAAGCGGGGGAGCAUGUGGUCUAAUUCGAUGAUACGCGAGGAACCUUACCUGGGACUAGAAUGCCCUUGAUGGGUCCAGAGAUGGACUGUUCCGCAAGGACAAGGAGCAAGGUGCUGCAUGCCGUCGUUUAUCUAGUGCCGUGAGGUGUUGGGUUAAGUUCCCGCAACGAGCCGCAACCCUUAUUUUUAGUUGCCAACAGGUCAAAGCUGGGGACUCUAAAAAGACUGCCCCGCGCAAGCGGAGAGGAAGGAGGGGAUGACGUCAGGUCAUCAUGGCCUUUACGUCCAGGGCUACACACGUGCUACAUUGCGUAUACAGAGUGUUGCAAGCUGUGACAGUGAGCCAAUUCCGACAGUACGUCUCAGUUCGGAUUGCAGGCUGGCAACUUCGGCUUGCAUGAAGUUGGAA
rnacentral:rRNA from 1 species